CGCUGGCGGCGUGCCUAACACAUGCAAGUCGAGCGAGAAGAUCCUCGGGAUGAUCCUAGCGGCGGACGGGUGAGCAACACGUGGGCAACCUGCCUCAUAGAGAGGAAUAGCCUUCCGAAAGGGAGAUUAAUACCUCAUAACAUUGCAGUUUCGCAUGGAACAGCAAUUAAAGGAGCAAUCCGCUAUGAGAUGGGCCCGCGGCGCAUUAGCUAGUUGGUGAGGUAACGGCUCACCAAGGCGACGAUGCGUAGCCGACCUGAGAGGGUGAUCGGCCACAUUGGGACUGAGACACGGCCCAGACUCCUACGGGAGGCAGCAGUGGGGAAUAUUGCACAAUGGGGGAAACCCUGAUGCAAGCAACGCCGCGUGAGUGAUGACGGCCUUCGGGUUGUAAAGCUCUGUCUUCAGGGACGAUAAUGACGGUACCUGAGGAGGAAGCCACGGCUAACUACGUGCCAGCAGCGGC
rnacentral:rRNA from 1 species